UAUUUGGCCCCAAUCUUGUUUGGAAUCUGGACUUUGCUGCUGAAUGGAAAAGUGGGAUGGAGUUGCAUGGAUCCAGGCUUUUGUGCUGCUGUUCUAAGCAGAGUUGGGCCUGGUUAAUAUGUGAUGUUUUCCUUCGGUGCUGUUUAGCCCCAGUGUUCUUUGGAGUCCGGGGAAGUUUGGCCUUUAAAAAUCAAACUGCCAUGGACACUGCUUUACCCAAAAUUUUGGUUCACAUUCUUCACUGGAUUAACUAUUGGGGCAAACAACGUAUAACCAUGUAAAACCAGUACGCUUGUAUUGGCAUUUCAUGGCUAGAGUUCUAAGUCACAAGCACCUCUUCGGCAAAGCCCACCUCCCUCUCUCGCUUGAUUCCCCGGCCAUCCUUAUCAAAGACCUUCCAGGUGAACAGGCAGCCAUCCUCAGCAGCAGUCAGCAGGAACUGAUCAUCAAAGAAACUUGCAAAAAUAGCACAGAGAGAGUGGACUUCUGGAAUGGCACGCCAGUAGACAAGAUUUGACUCUGGAGGUGACGUCUGAGCCAAUAGGUAUUUGGAGUCUGGAGAAAAAGCCAUGCUAAUAAAUUUCUGAACUUG
rnacentral:lncRNA from 1 species